GUCGAUGAGGUUGUCAUCCUGGGCGGCUGCGAGAAGAUCGCCCAGCAUCAGCGCUCCGAUGGUUCGGGCACCAGGCCGUAGCACAAAUGACAGACUUCCAAAUAUCGCAGCAUCUCCCAUCGUUUGGNNNNNNNNNNNNCUUAGACUAGAGAUCGUCUGGUCCAUUUAUGCCGGUGCGAGCGAGAUCGCGAAGCAAUUUUCUGACAAAUAUGAUGUUCAUCCGCUGAAGGUGAUGAUUGU
rnacentral:misc_RNA from 1 species